rnacentral:rRNA from 1 species
UCCUACGGGUGGCUGCAGUGGGGAAUAUUGGACAAUGGGCGCAAGCCUGAUCCAGCCAUGCCGCGUGAGUGAUGAAGGUCUUAGGAUUGUAAAGCUCUUUCACCGAUGAAGAUAAUGACGGUAGUCGGAGAAGAAGCCCCGGCUAACUUCGUGCCAGCAGCCGCGGUAAUACGAAGGGGGCUAGCGUUGUUCGGAAUUACUGGGCGUAAAGCGCACGUAGGCGGAUAUUUAAGUCAGGGGUGAAAUCCCGCAGCUCAACUGCGGAACUGCCUUUGAUACUGGGUAUCUCGAGUAUGGAAGAGGUGAGUGGAAUUCCGAGUGUAGAGGUGAAAUUCGUAGAUAUUCGGAGGAACACCAGUGGCGAAGGCGGCUCACUGGUCCAUUACUGACGCUGAGGUGCGAAAGCGUGGGGAGCAAACAGGAUUAGAUACCCCGGUAGUCUC